rnacentral:rRNA from 1 species
UACGUAGGGUGCAAGCGUUAAUCGGAAUUACUGGGCGUAAAGCGUGCGCAGGCGGUUUUGUAAGUCAGAUGUGAAAUCCCCGGGCUUAACCUGGGAACUGCAUUUGUGACUGCACGGCUGGAGUGCGGCAGAGGGGGAUGGAAUUCCGCGUGUAGCAGUGAAAUGCGUAGAUAUGCGGAGGAACACCGAUGGCGAAGGCAAUCCCCUGGGCCUGCACUGACGCUCAUGCACGAAAGCGUGGGGAGCAAACAGG